GGGGGAAUGCCAGAGCGGUCAAAUGGGGCACGUUAAGGGCGUGUUGGCUUAAGCCUACGAGGGUUCGAAUCCUUCUUCCCCCA
rnacentral:tRNA from 1 species